CAAUCGGCCCUUUUGAGGGCCACCAUAUAAUUUGAACGUUGGAUCAU
rfam:Trichomalopsis sarcophagae strain Alberta scaffold442, whole genome shotgun sequence.